rnacentral:rRNA from 1 species
GAUGAACGCUGGCGGCGUGCCUAAUACAUGCAAGUCGAGCGCAGCGGGGACGGGUGAGUAACACGUGGAUAACCUCAUAUAAGACUGGGAUAACUUCGGGAAACCGGAGCUAAACCGGAUACUUAUCGAUGGAUCCGCGCUGCAUUAGCGAGUUGGUAAGUGAACGGCUUACCAAGGCAACGAUCCCUAGCUGGUCUGAGAGGAUGACCAGCCACACUGGAACGGAGACACGUGCCAGACGCCUACGGGAGGCAGCAGUAGGGAAGCUUCCGCAAUGGGCGAAAGCCUGACGGAGCAACGCCGCGUGAGUGAUGAAGGUCUUCGGAUCGUAAAACUCUGUUAUUAGGGAAGCGGUACCUAAUCAGAAAGCCACGGCUAACUACGUGCCAGCCGCCGCGGUAAUUC